GAUCAUGGCUACGAGGACGAACGCUGGCGGCAUGCCUAACACAUGCAAGUCGAACGGGGGUAGCAAUACCCUAGUGGCGAACGGGUGAGUAACACAUAAGCAAUCUGCCCUUCACAGGGGGAUAACAGCGGGAAACUGCUGCUAAUACCGCAUAAGACCACGGUACCGCAUGGUACAGGGGUAAAAACGAAUCAGUGGUGAAGGAUGAGCUUAUGUCCCAUUAGCUAGUUGGUGAGAUAACAGCCCACCAAGGCGACGAUGGGUAGCCGACCUGAGAGGGUGAUCGGCCACACUGGAACUGAGACACGGUCCAGACUCCUACGGGAGGCAGCAGUGGGGAAUAUUGGGCAAUGGAGGAAAAACCUCUUACCCAGCAAUGCCGCGUGAGUGAAGAAGGUCUUCGGAUUGUAAAGCUCUUUGAUUGGGGACGAAGAAAGUGACGGUACCCAAAGAACAAGCCCCGGCUAACUACGUGCCAGCCGCAGC
rnacentral:rRNA from 1 species